GGACCAAAAUCUGAGACAGUGUCCAUUCUCUGCGGAGCACAUGGUUCCGGCCUACAGGCUAAUGGAACACAUCUUUCGCUGCAACUUGAAUCGUACAACUGAGGUCUUCUUUACGCCAACUGUAGAUGGCAAGACUGACGACCAGGAGCAGUAAACAGCCACAAAAGGUCGCCCAGUCUUCAUCUAACGAGAGGUUAGAACGAACUCUCCAGUUGUGUCUGGAAGCAGCCA